rnacentral:sRNA from 12 species
CUGUAAGGUGGACGCGCAGAAGCUGCACCAGCGCCUUAUGGUUUAAGACAGACUGGGGGUAAGUGGUUGUAACACUGCAAAUGGGCGGCGAAGUCAGCACCCAUACCACGCCAAGGCUGACGGGU